rnacentral:rRNA from 1 species
AACGAACGUUAGCGGCGCGCCUAACACAUGCAAGUCGAACGCGACAGGGGCAACUCUGUUGAGUGGCGCACGGGUGAGUAACACGUAGGUAAUCUCCCCCCGAGUGGUGGGUAACCUUCCGAAAGGAGGGCUAAUACAGCAUAAGACCACGGCUUCGAAAGGAGCUGAGGUCAAAGCGGAGGAUCGCAAGACUUCGCGCUUGGGGAUGAGCCUGCGGCCCAUCAGGUAGUUGGCGGGGUAACAGCCCACCAAGCCUAAGACGGGUAGCUGGUCUGGUAGGAUGAGCAGCCACACUGGAACUGAGACACGGUCCAGACUCCUACGGGGGGCAGCGGUGGGGAAUCUUGCGCAAUGGACGAAAGUCUGACGUAGCGACGCCGCGUGGGUGAUGAAGGCCUUCGGGUUGUAAAGCCCUGUGGGGAGGGACGAAUAAGUUUCAGCUAAUACCUGAAGCGAUGACGGUACCUCCUUAGCAAGCACCGGCUAACUCUGUGCCAGCCGCCGCCGUAA